GGAUGUGAGGGCAAUCUGGCUGUGACACCUGUCACCCCAUUGAUCACCAGGGGUUGAUUCUGCUGAUCUGGCUGGCUAGGCGGGAGUCCCCUUCCUCCCCUCACCACUCCAUGUGCGUCCCUCCCGAAGCUGCCCUCUCGGUUGAAGAGGACGGCCUUCCUCGAAUAGAGACGGACGGGUCUUCGAUCUAGGGUAUAUGAGUAGUUGUGCUCCCCUGCUAGAACCUCCAAACAAGCUCUCAAGGGGUUUCUAGAAGACUGUCUCAUUUGAAAAGGCAAGGGUAUUUGUCCCUUCCCAU
rnacentral:snRNA from 1 species